rnacentral:tRNA from 1 species
GGCCAGUUAGCUCAGUCAGUUGAGUGUGGCGCUAACAACGCCAGGGUCGCGGGUUUGAUUCCCAUUUGGUCC